rnacentral:rRNA from 1 species
UUCCCUACGGGACGCAGCAGUGGGGAAUAUUGGGCAAUGGGCGCAAGCCUGACCCAGCAACGCCGCGUGAAGGAAGAAGGCUUUCGGGUUGUAAACUUCUUUUAAGAGGGACGAAGGAAGUGACGGUACCUCUUGAAUAAGCCACGGCUAACUACGUGCCAGCAGCCGCGGUAAUACGUAGGUGGCAAGCGUUAUCCGGAUUUAUUGGGUGUAAAGGGCGUGUAGGCGGGGGCGCAAGUCAGAUGUGAAAACUCAGGGCUCAACCCUGAGCCUGCAUUUGAAACUGUGUUUCUUGAGUGCUGGAG